GGCCAACAGAACAGUUUAGUGCUAGAGGCCAACAGAACAGUCUAGUGUUAGAGGCCAACAGAACAGUCUAGUGUUAGAGGCUAGAGGCUAACAGAACAGUCUAGUGCUAGAGGCCAACAGAACAGUCUAGUGUUAGAGGCUAGAGGCCAACAGAACAGUCUAGUGUUAGAGGCUAGAGGCCAACAGAACAGUCUAGUGUUAGAGGCUAACAGAACAGUCUAGUGUUAGAGGCCAACAGAACAGUCUAGUGUUAGAGGCUAGAGGCCAACAGAACAGUCUAGUGUUAGAGGCUAGAGGCCAACAGAACAGUCUAGUGUUAGAGGCUAGAGGCCAACAGAACAGUUUAGUGUUA